rnacentral:rRNA from 1 species
GAUGAACGCUGGCGGCGUGCCUAAUACAUGCAAGUCGAGCGAACAGACGAGGAGCUUGCUCCUCUGACGUUAGCGGCGGACGGGUGAGUAACACGUGGAUAACCUACCUAUAAGACUGGGAUAACUUCGGGAAACCGGAGCUAAUACCGGAUAAUAUAUUGAACCGCAUGGUUCAAUAGUGAAAGACGGUUCUGCUGUCACUUAUAGAUGGAUCCGCGCCGCAUUAGCUAGUUGGUAAGGUAACGGCUUACCAAGGCAACGAUGCGUAGCCGACCUGAGAGGGUGAUCGGCCACACUGGAACUGAGACACGGUCCAGACUCCUACGGGAGGCAGCAGUAGGGAACCUUCCGCAAUGGGCGAAAGCUUGACGGAGCAACGCCGCGUGAGUGAUGAAGGUCUUCGGAUCGUAAAACUCUGUUAUUAGGGAAGAACAAAUGUGUAAGUAACUAUGCACGUCUUGACGGUACCUAAUCAGAAAGCCACGGCUAACUACGUG